CAAGUCGAGCGGUAGAGAGAAGCUUGCUUCUCUUGAGAGCGGCGGACGGGUGAGUAAUGCCUAGGAAUCUGCCUGGUAGUGGGGGAUAACGUUCGGAAACGGACGCUAAUACCGCAUACGUCCUACGGGAGAAAGCAGGGGACCUUCGGGCCUUGCGCUAUCAGAUGAGCCUAGGUCGGAUUAGCUAGUUGGUGAGGUAAUGGCUCACCAAGGCGACGAUCCGUAACUGGUCUGAGAGGAUGAUCAGUCACACUGGAACUGAGACACGGUCCAGACUCCUACGGGAGGCAGCAGUGGGGAAUAUUGGACAAUGGGCGAAAGCCUGAUCCAGCCAUGCCGCGUGUGUGAAGAAGGUCUUCGGAUUGUAAAGCACUUUAAGUUGGGAGGAAGGGCAGUUACCUAAUACGUGAUUGUUUUGACGUUACCGACAGAAUAAGCACCGGCUAACUCUGUGCCAGCAGCCGCGGUAAUACAGAGGGUGCAAGCGUUAAUCGGAAUUACUGGGCGUAAAGCGCGCGUAGGUGGUUUGUUAAGUUGGAUGUGAAAUCCCCGGGCUCAACCUGGGAACUGCAUUCAAAACUGACUGACUAGAGUAUGGUA
rnacentral:rRNA from 1 species